GAUGAACGCUGGCGGCGUGCCUAAUACAUGCAAGUCGAGCGAACAGACGAGGAGCUUGCUCCUCUGACGUUAGCGGCGGACGGGUGAGUAACACGUGGAUAACCUACCUAUAAGACUGGGAUAACUUCGGGAAGCCGGAGCUAAUACCGGAUAAUAUAUUGAACCGCAUGGUUCAAUAGUGAAAGACGGUUUUGCUGUCACUUAUAGAUGGAUCCGCGCCGCAUUAGCUAGUUGGUAAGGUAACGGCUUACCAAGGCAACGAUGCGUAGCCGACCUGAGAGGGUGAUCGGCCACACUGGAACUGAGACACGGUCCAGACUCCUACGGGAGGCAGCAGUAGGGAAUCUUCCGCAGUGGGCGAAAGCCUGACGGAGCAACGCCGCGUGAGUGAUGAAGGUCUUCGGAUCGUAAAACUCUGUUAUUAGGGAAGAACAAAUGUGUAAGUAACUAUGCACGUCUUGACGGUACCUAAGCAGAAAGCCACGGCUAACUACGU
rnacentral:rRNA from 1 species